GCACAGUGUAAAUCUUUGUAUAUUUAUAUCUUUAUCCUUGAGAAUAGCUAUGGUUUUAUCCAAAUAUUGAAGGAAUUAGGGAGCUAGAGAGACAGAACAUUGCAGGAUUUUGUCUGCUCCGGUACAUCUGCGUACAAAGGUAAAUUACAGUGCUUCAUGAUUAAACCUGAGUUUACACCUUGAUAUUUACUUAACUGAAUCAAACAAAAAUAUUUUGAUGCUGAUACACCUGUAUGAUGCUGAACUGCUCAGCACUAUAUUGCUCUGAGCAAGAAGUUGUUAAAUGUUGCCACCAAACAGUAACAAAACAAAAAUAAAUGCCAUACAUACAAAGCUCAGAACACAUUAGCUAAUUAUUGGGGUAUAAGGGUCUGUACACUAUUGGGAAAUUUCUGGCCUUCAUUCAACUUGGAGGAACAGGAAUAUUCCCACUCUGUUCCUUUGCUUUUUCUUCGUCUACUGUAAAUGAAAUAUAAGAGCAAGGACGUUCUUUUCUGUUGAGACUACUUCAAACACAGGCUAUGAAGAGGUGAUCUUGAUGCUUAAGGGCUCAUAAAACACCAUGGCAGAUUUUCAGCUCUUCACUCCUGCUGCAAUAGAAGUUGCAGAAUGGCAGCUUUUGCCAAAGCUGGAUGAGUUAUUCACAUUUGACAACUGAUCUGUCAAAUAAAGAUUUCUCAAGGGUUUUCAUCAUUUUGCAGCAAAAAUUUAUGAAGCUGAAGCCUACACUAGCAUGCAAGAGCUGACAUUGUCAUCCAGUUGAAGUAUCAGAAGCUGUAAGCACAUUUUACUUUUCAAUUUAAGUGCAUAUUGAGAAGGUUUUGUGAAGAUUGAACUGAUAAGAAUCCAGAUAAGAAUCCCAUAUAGAUUUAGUAAUACAGGGUAUAGAGUUGGCUCACACUCAAGAUCCUCUAAUAUGUACAGCAAAACUUGUGAAGCAUGAUGUAAAUACUGAGAUUACCUACCGAGGCAAUGGGAUCAAGGAAGCCCCUACAGUUCUUCACAAUUUUUAUUAUGUUUCAGCAGGAUUUUUCUUUUCUGCUUCUUAAAGUUAAUGAUUCUUGAAAAGAUUCAAAGUCAUUAGUAGGGUCUUCAGGACCUGUAUUUCAAUAGCUGAUCUGAAAGUACUCCGUAGGGGAAACAACAGAUGCUAACUAGGCAAGUGAAAGCACAGCCACCUGUAUAGAGUGGCCUGUAAGGGACCUCUGGUGGACAAGAACAGUGCUACAUUUCUUUGUAUUAGAGUAGUUUAUCCAUUUAACUAGCUUACAGCCAUUCAGUUGAAUGCUAUCUCAUAUUAUAGAAGAAUCAAAACCAUUUUCCACUUGAACAAAAAGAAUUUGAUACAAAAAGAAAUGGAAAUGAAUACAGUUGAAUCCAAAAGAACAUUUCCCAGGCUGGGUGAGGUGAUGGUACCUGUUGCUUCCAGCACACGCAGUGGUUGAUCACAGCCACUGUACAUAAUCACAAGAGCUUAUAUAGCUAUUUAUUACAGUGCAGAAUAUCCCCAAGGAUAUUAUCCUGUUCCAAACUAAAUAUUUUUUAAAGUGUUAGAAGCUUGGGAAUUUAUUUUGAUCUCAUGGCUUAAAGAGGCUCGCACCUCUGGGCUUUGGCACCUCUGUUUUCAGAGAGCAUGUAUAGUCUGACAGACCACAAAGUUUACACAGAUCCCUCUAGGAUCACAAAUUCCCCUUUGGUAACUGGACUUGUCUUCCCUUGCUACUCUUUGCCAAUCUCCACAUGGAGAUAAAACUCCAAUAGCUUCUCAGGUGGGUAUAACAAUAGCCAUGGGAGAUGGUUUGCUGUACAGAAAUAACACACUGAAAUGGUUCCCUAGGAAAACCAGCAUGUCUUGGCAACAGUUGUCCUGGCAACUAAAUCUCCUGGCAGAGGGUGGUGGCCACUGAUCUGUGGAAACUGAUCCGUGACUCAUUUUUUCUCAGAGACCUGAGUGGAUAGGGAAUAGCAUGGAAAAGCCUUCACCAUUUGGUUUCCCCCCAUCCCUUGCAUUGAGAGGAAACUCUCACCAGUCAUAGAGGUUAUUUGAAUGGGUAUGGAAUUUAGGGUUCUGGAACACAGAUACAGGACAUACUAAUACAAGGCAUAUAAUUGGACAGCAUCAUUUCAAACACCAUUUUUUUUUCUUUUUUUUUUUAAUCGAGUCACAUUAGGAACUGUCUUAACUCUCUACCAGGACUGAAAAUUGCACUGGAAAAAUCACAGCAGAAAAUGUCAACACAGCCAUAACAGUACUAAACAGAGGACAGAUAAAAAUGACAAAGGACAUUUUUGUCUAAGAAGCUUUUCAGAAGCCUGUGAAAGCUUUGGUGGUCAGUAUAGCUUUUGAUUUCAUAUCUUACGUGUGGUGUGGCACAGGUACCUGUCCAGCAGGAAGACUGUGCUGCACUUGUAGCUGCACAGGCCUGACCUAAAUGCAGCCCAAGGCUCCUAAGCAGGAGCUCCAGAGGUGGUCCAUGGCCUCGGACAGUGUGCCCGUGCUCAGCAAUCCCACAUUGCCUGCCAUGCCUCACUGCCUUCCUGCUGAAGUGGCCUCACUGGGGUGGCUCUGCCCUGGGGACAAGGCACACGCUCGAUCCACUGCUGCACCUGCCCAAGGCAUUUAUGGGCCUGGUGCUCACGGACUCGGUGCAGAAAUGGCUCUGUCCCAGCAGUGCUCACACACACAUCAGGUGUAAGAGCAGCACACAGAGUGUCCCUUCCCAGCCACAGCACGCUGUCCCCUCUCCCGUACUCUCCCAGCUCUGAGAGGCCUGAGCACAGCUUGCUUCAACUCCUCCUGGAAAUGUCUGAAGUCUCCAAGAGGGUGAGGGUCACUUGGGCACAGCCAGGGGCUCUCCUGCUGGGACAGCAAAUCUCCCUCGCAGGGAGAACAAGCAGCCCUUUGGCCACAGACUUUCUGCUUCCCAGGAAAUCCAGGAAAAGCAGUGACACAGAAAAAAUUAAUUUCAUUUUCUUGGGCUUGUCAUCUCUGAGCUGUCCCUUUCAAAGCACAAGUGUGACUGAAGCCUUGGGGUGACUGAAUGGCCGGCAAGGGGUGAGUGGUGAGCAGAAUCUUUUGAAAUGGAUCAGCUGAAAGAAAUGAGAAGUACCUGAGUCCAUGCCAGCUCUGAAGGGCCAGCGUGAGGCUGAACAGGGCUACACCAGGGCAUCGUGCUCCAGAGCAGCAACACUUCCAACAGGUGUUCAGAAACUGAUCUGAAAGAAAAAUUUCUGUUUCAGAAAACAUGACUUGGCAACAAAAUCAUUUCCUUUUGAAAUAUUUCUCAAGGUUUAUUCUACUGCUUUAAUCUGAAUUAUGCUAAUCCAUGCAUACGAUGAUUCUGUUUAUCCAUGAAUAUUUGGACACAUACAUUUUCAUAUAGGUGGAAAGCAAAAGAGUUUAUUAGAUGAUAGCACAACCAUUGCAUGAAUUCAAUAUUUGCACAAGAAGCAGAGAAAUGUUUUUCAUCAGUUUACGCUUCUCUUUCCAUUACCUGCACAGUAAACUCAAACACAAUAAAUGUUUCAGGAUGCUAUUAAGCAGGUGGACUCCCAGAGAUUUUCAAGGAGAUGAAAAAAAGCACCUCAAGCAGUAAGUCAUACAUCUUGAAAAUUGCAUAGUAAACACUUGGAGACACAUAAAAUCCCACUUCUAACCUAAACGAGUAAACAACUUGAAAAAAUGGGCUCAGACAUAAAAACUGUGAGCUGACUACAAAUGAUCUGCAAAUACAUUGAAGGCCUAUAUUUGUUCAAAUCCAUUAUUCAUAAGAAAUAAUUUGAGUUUUAGUUGUAUGCAAUUUAUGUUGCAUAAACUUAAGCAAAUACUUGUAACCAAAAGCUGUUUUAAAGAAUUAAUGAGCAAUCUCUAAAUAAAAUUCUAUUACUAAAUAAAAUCUUCCCUGCUUUGCAAAGCCAUAUGCUUCCUUUAGCAUAUACAUAAAUAAGUACAUCUCUUAAGAGCUGAGGCCUGGAAUGCUGUGAUAGAGAGCUUAGAUCUGAUUGAGCUCUCACUAAGCAGGACUGGUGUGAGGUAAACAAGAGGAGAAACCACUGCUUUUGAAAUGGUUUUAAAGUAUUUAGGAUUCAACAACAACAAAGUCAACUGAAUUCUUGAGCUAAACAGCUGCAUUUCUUUUCUAGGAUCAACAUAUCUGAAUAUUUAGUAAACAAAUAAAGAGAAAGGGGAAUGUAGCUUUUCACCUCUAGUAAAACACUUCUGCUGUCCAUUGCUGCACUCUUGGACACCAAAUUUGUCAGUGAACAUUUCAGGCUAAAGAGGCACUGCAGUAUAGGGUGGUACAGUUUGAACUGCUGCACCAGUGCAUGAGCGGUGGCUUGACUUACAUUAUCUGCAGUAACUCCAUACUUCUCUGUACUGACUGAACUAAACAGGUGCAUCAUGCUGAAGCAAUAUUGAUAUUAUUAUUGUGUAAAUUCUCAUAUUAUAUAGAAGCCUUAAUAAACCAGAUGCUUUUACACAGCUGGAGAUAACAGGGAAUGUCUACAAACUAACACCUCCUCCAGCUAUUACCCCCAGAAGUUAUUACACAAAUAGAUGAAAGAACUAGUCUGGCUUCCACAAAUAGUUGUCUCUUAAAUCUGAAUUGAAUGAAAGUAGUCAGGUUGCUUGACCAACAGUUGAGACACUGCAAAGCUUUCCUCUGACAGGGAUAG
ensembl:lncRNA